rnacentral:lncRNA from 1 species
AAGAAUAAGAAGCACCUCGAAUUCUCUGGAUAAUAAAGAAGCUUACCUGGUGUGAGUCACAAUGUCUGUCAAGGCACCACCUUCUAGAAACUCCAUGACCACCCAGAGCUCAUCGCUGACAAGGUAGCUGUUGUACAUGUCAACCACAUUGUCAUGGUGGUAAUCCCGCAUGAUCACGACCUGGGAAAACGGGAAAGAUACUUUUGACUUGUGAAGAUGAAGUUGCUUUUUGUUCUCUUGUGGCCACAUCUACAAUUAGCAUCAUCAGAGUCCACCCUUAACAGCUGGCAUAUGACAUAAAGAAGAAGCCUGCCUGCACCAAGGGGACAAUUUCCAGGCAAAAAUGGAAUGCAGAGCUCUCUGCUGAAAGCUAACCAUCUUCAAAAUAGGCCAUGAGACAAAAAGACUCUGCAUUGUUACAACACCACUCAGGCUUUCUUCUGUAAGUUCUUUCAAGGAAGACAGUGCAAACUUUCUUCUGUGAUGAGACCUCCUCACAUAGCUCUUGGACUUUCAUAGUCAUUUUUUAGUGCAGCCCAUCAGUUUUCACUAGCACUGUCAUUCCAUAACCCAUUAAACCCUGAAUGGAUCUCUGAACCGAGUUCUGCAGGGAUCCUCAGAAGAAAAGAAGUUGCUGUUUUGUUGUUGGAGCCAUGGUUGAAUCUGGGCAUGACAAGUACCACAAAGAACAGUAAAUCAUUAAAUUAUUGAUGCGGGAAGACUGGGCCCACUGGUUCAAGUGCUUUUUCUUUCCAGGGAAAGCAAAGUGAUAGCUAAACAGUGAAAACACAUUGCACUGUUGACCCCAGAAGGAAGUGCCGGGAAAUCACAUCAUCCUUUUCUUCCCAUCCUUUUUGUUUUGUUUUGUUUUUUUAGACAGGGUCUCACUCUGUUGCCUAGGCUGGAGUGUAGUAGUGUAAUUAUAACUCACUGCAACCUUGAACUCCUGGGCUCAAAGGAUUGUCUUGGCCUCCCCAGUAGCUAGGGCUACAGUUGUGUGCCACCAUGCCCAGUUCAAAGUAGGUACUGAAACACUUUAGAGAUGAUGGAACUGAUGCACAGAGAAGAUCAUACAGCUACUAAGGGCUUGAAUCCAGGGAAUCUGAUUAUAGAACUUGCAUUUUUCUGUAAUGGGUGAGAAAAUCUGGAUUAUCUUUUAAAAAAUCAAACAAGACUACCGCUUAAGGUCGAAUAAAUGCAUAUGAGCACCUUAGGGAUUUCUGCACCUAACACUUCCUUUACAGCCCAUAGUUCCAGCUUUUACCCACGGUUUACACUCUGGGUGACAUUAAGGAACUUCUCAAGGAUUCCAUCCUACAGGAUGGAAGAACAGGAAGAAUAAACAGCAUUCCAUGGGCACAGAAAAUCCACCUGUCAGUCACCACCCAUUCUUCAACAGCAAGACAAAAUGUAAAACUGUGUCAAACACACACACACUCACGUAUGACCCUCCUCAUUUCUGCUUCAUCUGGAGACCUACACAAGUUUUGUGCUUCCUUUUAUUAUUGGAGAUGAAAACAUGACCCAGCCUCCUUUAGGAGUCUCUGCAAGCAAGGCCGACUCAUCUGAGUCGUGACCGCUAUUUCUUCCCUCAGCUGGAAAUCCAAAUGUGAUUGGUACACUCUAAGAGUACCGUUCUAAAGACACAGGCACCUCCGUCUUUUCCCAGACCUUCUCUUCUGGAGGUUAAGAGUCCCACUCUGACCCCAAACAGGCAGGGGGAAAAGAGUAACGUUGGAGUUGAAAAGCCUGGCAGACACCACGUUCGACUGAGUGAUCAGAGUGAACGCCGCCAGCCGUGAAACACACUGAAUCUGGAACAAUGGUACAGCCCACUAUGGCUUCUCUGAUAGUCCUGCCAAAGGUGCAUCACCUGAACCUGACUAUGAGAAAGUGUCAGCCAAAGAAAAAUGGAGGGACAUUCUGUAAAACAACUGGCCUGUGCUCUUCAGAAGUGCCAAGGCCAAUAUAAAGAAAGGCUGAGGAACUGUUCUGGAAUCAAUAAGACUAAAAAGAGAUAUGACAAAAUAUGCAACAUGUGACUUUCAAUUGGAUCUUCAUUAUUGGGGCAACUGGAGAACCUUCUUGGGGCCUGAUAAAUAAGUGGCAGUAAGGUCUCAGUGUUAAUGUCUUAAUGUUGAUGGUGGCAUGUGGCUGUGUAGAAAAUGCAGGCAUGGUGGCUCAUACCUGUAAUCCCAGCACUUUGGGAGGCCAAGGUGGGAGGAUCACUUGGGCCCAGGAAUUAAGGACCAGACUAGGGAGACCCUGUAUCUACAAAAAAUAUUUUAAA